GAUGAACGCUGGCGGCGUGCCUAAUACAUGCAAGUCGAGCGAACGGACGAGAAGCUUGCUUCUCUGAUGUUAGCGGCGGACGGGUGAGUAACACGUGGAUAACCUACCUAUAAGACUGGGAUAACUUCGGGAAACCGGAGCUAAUACCGGAUAAUAUUUUGAACCGCAUGGUUCAAAAGUGAAAGACGGUCUUGCUGUCACUUAUAGAUGGAUCCGCGCUGCAUUAGCUAGUUGGUAAGGUAACGGCUUACCAAGGCAACGAUGCAUAGCCGACCUGAGAGGGUGAUCGGCCACACUGGAACGUGGACACGGUCCAGACUCCUACGGGAGGCAGCAGUAGGGAAUCUUCCGCAAUGGGCGAAAGCCUGACGGAGCAACGCCGCGUGAGUGAUGAAGGUCUUCGGAUCGUAAAACUCUGUUAUUAGGGAAGAACAUAUGUGUAAGUAACUGUGCACAGCGUGACGGUACCUAAUCAGAAAGCCACGGCUAACUACGUG
rnacentral:rRNA from 1 species